ensembl:lncRNA
AAAAUGUUGAGCACACAACAGUUCACCUGACACAAGACUGAAUCCAAACAUUACUGUUGAUUUGAUAUUUUUCUGUACUUUAGGCCACAUUGAUGACAUGUUACUGAACAGCCAUUGCGUUCCAAUUUCAACCUGUAUUUGGGUGUAAAGUGUUAAUGGCAUAUAAUAACAUGUAGUAGUUUUAUUAUUCUAUAAUAUUAUUAAUAUGGGUUCGUUGCUGAGUGUUGAAACAUGGUGCCAAUUUCAAGGCUAUAUUUCUUGAAUUGAUUUCAGAAUGUGUUGACCCUGAUUUGUUAGAUACCCCCCCCCCAGCAUUUACAAGCUGACUUGUUUAUACAUUUAGGAUGUUUCUAAAAAUCUGUUUUAUACCAGGUUCUAACAUGCAUCCUUUUGUCCUGAUCUGGUCCACAUUCUGAUUGUGACCACAUUUUAAGACCGGGUGUAGACAAUUAAAGGACACGUUGCGAUCAGAUCUUCCUGCCUACCCCCGGAGGUAUUCAGGUACACAUUGUGCAGAUGCAUCUGGACAGAUGGUUGCUGAUAAUGGGCCUCUGUACACCUAUGUAGAUAAUCCAUACAAAAUUAGCUGUUUCCAGCUACAAUAGUCAUUUACAACAUUUAACCAUGUCUACACUGUAUUUAUGAUGAAUUUGAUGUUAUUUUAAUAGACAAAAUGUGCUUUUCCUUCUAAAAGGACAUUUCUAAGUGACCCCAACCUUUUGAACGGUAGUAUAUGUUUAUAUAUAAAGCUACAGUCAUAGUCCCAAAUGGAACCCUAUUCACUAGAACAUAUAAAGCUACAGUCAUAGUCCCAAAUGGAACCCUAUUCUCUAGAACAUAUGAAGCUACAGUCAUAGUCCCAAAUGGAACCCUAUUCACUAGGAAAUAUAUAUAAAGCUACAGUCAGUCGUAGUCCCAAAUAGAACCCAAUUCUCUAGGACAUAUAAAGCUACAGUCGUAGUCCAAAAUGGAACCCUAUCUCUAGGACAUAUAAAGCUACAGUCAUAUCCCAAAUGGAACCCUAUUCUCUAGGACAUAUAUAUAAAGCUACAGUCAUAGUCCCAAAUAGAACCCUAUUCUCUGGGACAUAUAUAUAAAGCUACAGUCGUAGUCCCAAAUAGAACCCUAUUCUCUAGGACAUACAGUGCCUUGCGAAAGUAUUCGGCCCCCUUGAACUUUGCGACCUUUUGCCACAUUUCAGGCUUCAAACAUAAAGAUAUAAAACUGUAUUUUUU